rnacentral:misc_RNA from 1 species
UCCGGUUUACCACCGGCAGUCUCGUUAGAGUCCCCGGCAUGACCCGCUGGUAACUAACGACAAGGGUUGCGCUCGUUGCGGGACUUAACCCAACAUCUCACGACACGAGCUGACGACAGCCAUGCACCACCUGUGCACUGGCCCCGAAGGGCUGCCGUAUUUCUACGACAUUCCAGUGCAUGUCAAGCCCUGGUAAGGUUCUUCGCGUCGCGUCGAAUUAAACCACAUGCUCCGCUGCUUGUGCGGGCCCCCGUCAAUUCCUUUGAGUUUCAGCCUUGCGGCCGUACUCCCCAGGCGGGACACUUACUGCGUUAGCGACGGCACCGAGGGGGUCGCUCCCCCCGACGCCUAGUGCCCAUCGUUUACGGCGUGGACUAC